GUAAGACCCCUCAAAGACUAUGAGGUUGAUAGGCCUAAGGUGUAAGCACGGUGACGUGUUCAGCCUGCGGGUACUAAUCGGUCGAGGGCUUGACCUU
rnacentral:rRNA from 1 species